CCAUAUUCUCAUGCAGCUGGGAAAACAUUCAUAAAAACUUAUUCCGAAUAAAAUUAUUAUUUUAAACACUUCAAAAUUAACAAACUAUGGAGGUUCUCUUGGAAAGAGUUGCCUCUUUAGAAGUCAUGGUUUCAGAUUUAGUAAAAUGGACAAACUUUCAACCAGGAGAAAAUCCCCGCAUUCCAAGAACAUGACGAUAUUGCCAUAGAUGAUUCCAUACCUCCGUCAACACCUACUUAUCCUGAUAACCUGGAUUCUGACGAAAUUGAUAUAGAGCACACAAUUAAACUCGAGUAUCCAACUGAUGACACCCUUCCGCCCUGUGACGAGGAGGUGGAGGAAGGUGAAGUUCCCCGCAUAAGAAAUGACCCACUCGGCGACAUUCCUGAUUAUUCGGCAACUACACCGACUUCCUCUCAGGUAUUUGUCGGAGGUCCGCCUCAAAAUCAAGUUCAAGCCACGUCAACAAAUAGCUGGACAGUUAAAUCUAAACAAAAACAAGUUUAUCGCGUCGUCAAGAAAACGAAGGAUAUUAUAUUACUAAGUACCAAAUCCGCGAAAUCCAUGGACAUCUCGUCGAUAUGCAUAAGUGGACCGUGGUCCAUUGCCGCUUAUGCAAUAGAAAAUUUCUGGACAAGACGGAGCUCGACCAACACCUGAGUGACGAUCAUAGCACAGUCAUCCAUUUCCCAUGCGUCCAGUGUGGAACCAUUUUUGACUCUCACGACCAUCUCGACUCCCACAUCAGCUCCACCCAUGCCACUAUGCCGAAAAAAGUUGAGUGUUCCAUAUGCGGACAAAAGUUUCACCUUCAAAAUGUUGCAAAAACAUGCCCAAACUACAUACUGCAAACAAAAUCGGCGCAGCUUCACAUCUCCCGAUUUGCAGAUGUGAGAGCAAAGCCAUUAUAAUUCUAUCUGCAGCAACGUGGACACAAAUCAUAUCGUAAAAUGUGCCAGUUUUACAAUUAUUAUAUGACAUUAUUUUCUGUUUCAUCCAAAUUAAAUUUUUAUAGAUUUCAAUUCAUAUUACUCUACUAGGACCCAUUUCCUACCUCUGUACCAAAACUCAGCCUACUACGACUAUUUUGAAUAUUCUGACCCUUGACCCAUACCGACUAAAAUGACCCCCACGGGUCAACCACUUGACCGAUCAAGCUCAUCUUCGAACUUGAUUCUUAACUUUGCAUGUUCUAAGUGUGUGCCAAAUUUCAAGUCGAUCGGAUAAGUUUUACUAAAGUUAUUGCAAGACGGACAGACGGACAACACGGGUACAUAAGCCCUGGGUCAGGCUAAAAGGGCCUAUGUGCAAGCAUGUAUUCACUUAUGUCUUGCCAAACCGAUUCUUCAUAUAUCGCGCGAUUUAGCCAUUAGUAAAUACAUGCUUGCACAUAGGCCCUUAUUAAUUUUCUGCUGCGCGCUUAGGCCCUUUCGGAAUUAUUCAUCGUCUGCACUUCAGCCCUUUCAGAAUUAGUCCGACGAUAUGACAAAAUAUACUAGUUUCUAUGUCAUCUUUUAUAUUUACAUGUGUGCCUUCAUUGUUUUCAGCUUAUGCAACCCAAACAGUGGCAGGGACCAACUUUUUUGUCAAAGUUCGACUUGAUCCGGAAAUUUACCACGUGCGAAUUGAAAGAGAUCUUUCGGGUAGAUCACUCAAACUCGUCAAAGUCAUGGGACCAAUGAAAGAAGAAGAUAAAAUUGCUCAUUUUUGAAUAAAGGAAAAUGUUUCAUGCAAAUCUUAUCUAUUCCUGAUAUGCGAUUGUCAAAUGGUGCUUUCUUUUAAUAAUUUUGCAAAAUGUACAACAAUUUAAUUCAUGUCAAAUAAAAUUGUUAAUCAGUUCA